rnacentral:rRNA from 1 species
CUGCGAUAAGCGCCGGUAAGGUGAUAUGAACCGUUAUAACCGGCGAUACCCGAAUGGGGAAACCCAGUGUGAUUCGUCACACUAUCAUUAACUGAAUCCAUAGGUUAAUGAGGCGAACCGGGGGAACUGAAACAUCUAAGUACCCCGAGGAAAAGAAAUCAACCGAGAUUCCCCCAGUAGCGGCGAGCGAACGGGGAGGAGCCCAGAGCCUGAAUCAGCAUGUGUGUUAGUGGAAGCGUCUGGAAAGGCGCGCGAUACAGGGUGACAGCCCCGUACACAAAAGCGCAUGUGCUGUGAGCUCGAUGAGUAGGGCGGGACACGUGGUAUCCUGUCUGAAUAUGGGGGGACCAUCCUCCAAGGCUAAAUACUCCUGACUGACCGAUAGUGAACCAGUACCGUGAGGGAAAGGCGAAAAGAACCCCGGCGAGGGGAGUGAAAAAGAACCUGAAACCGUGUACGUACAAGCAGUGGGAGCACCCUUUGGGUGUGACUGCGUACCUUUUGUAUAAUGGGUCAGCGACUUAUAUUCUGUAGCAAGGUUAACCGAAUAGGGGAGCCGGAGGGAAACCGAGUCUUAACCGGGCGUUAAGUUGCAGGGUAUAGACCCGAAACCCGGUGAUCUAGCCAUGGGCAGGUUGAAGGUUGGGUAACACUAACUGGAGGACCGAACCGACUAAUGUUGAAAAAUUAGCGGAUGACCUGUGGCUGGGGGUGAAAGGCCAAUCAAACCGGGAGAUAGCUGGUUCUCCCCGAAAGCUAUUUAGGUAGCGCCUCGUGAAUUCAUCUCCGGGGGUAGAGCACUGUUUCGGCUAGGGGGCCAUCCCGGCUUACCAACCCGAUGCAAACUGCGAAUACCGGAGAAUGUUAUCACGGGAGACACACGGCGGGUGCUAACGUCCGUCGUGAAGAGGGAAACAACCCAGACCGCCAGCUAAGGUCCCAAAGUCAUGGUUAAGUGGGAAACGAUGUGGGAAGGCCCAGACAGCCAGGAUGUUGGCUUAGAAGCAGCCAUCAUUUAAAGAAAGCGUAAUAGCUCACUGGUCGAGUCGGCCUGCGCGGAAGAUGUAACGGGGCUAAACCAUGCACCGAAGCUGCGGCAGCGACACUGUG